GCCGCCGCGGUAAUACCAGCUCUUCGAGUGGUGUGGAUGUUAUUGGGCCUAAAGCAUCCGUAGCUGGCUAAGUUAGUCCUUGUUAAAUCCACCGAAUUAAUCGUUGGAUUGCGGGGGAUACUGCUUGGCUAGGGGACGAGAGAGGCAGACGGUAUUUUCGGGGUAGGGGUGAAAUCCUAUAAUCCCGGGAAGACCACCAGUGGCGAAGGCCGUCUGCUAGAACGCGCCCGACGGUGAGGGAUGAAAGCUGGGGGAGCGAACCGGAUUAGAUACCCGGGUAGUCCCAGCUGUAAACGAUGCAGGCUAGGUGUUUGGACGGCCACGUGCCGUUCUAGUGCCGCAGGGAAGCUGUUAAGCCUGCCGCCUGGGGAGUACGAUCGCAAGAUUGAAACUUAAAGGAAUUGGCGGGGGAGCACCACAAGGGGUGAAGCUUGCGGUUUAAUUGGAGUCAACGCCGGAAAUCUCACCGGGAGCGACAGCAGUGUGAAGGCCAGAUUAAAGGUCUUGCCAGACGAGCUGAGGGGAGGUGCAUGG
rnacentral:rRNA from 1 species